rnacentral:rRNA from 1 species
CUGGCGGCGCGUCUUAAACAUGCAAGUCGUACGAGAACCCCGGUGCUGCAGUUGGGGGAGAGCGGCGAACGGGUGAGUAACACGUAGAUAAUCUGCCUUCAGGAUGGGGACAACCAUUGGAAACGAUGGCUAAUACCGAAUAAUAUAGCUUUUGCAUAAGCAAGAGUUAUCAACGGUGGGGACCGCAAGGCCUACCGCCUGAAGAUGAGUCCGCGGCCCAUUAGCUAGUUGGCAGGGUAAUGGCCUACCAAGGCGACGAUGGGUAGCCGGCCUGAGAGGGUGAUCGGCCACAUUGGGACUGAGAUACGGCCCAGACUCCUACGGGAGGCAGCAGUUAAGAAUCUUGCGCAAUGGGCGAAAGCCUGACGCAGCGACGCCGCGUGAAUGAUGAAAGGCCUUCGGGUUGUAAAGUUCAUUAAGCAGGGAAGAAUAAGUGAGGUCUAAUACGCCUCAUGAUGACGGUACCUGUCUAAAGCCUCGGCUAACUACGUGCCAGCAGCAGC